rnacentral:rRNA from 1 species
GACUCUCGGCAACGGAUAUCUCGGCUCUCGCAUCGAUGACCAACGUAGCGAAAUGCGAUACUUGGUGUGAAUUGCAGAAUCCCGUGAACCAUCGAGUCUUUGAAUGCAAGUUGCACCCGAAGACUUCUGGCCGAGGGCACGUCUGCCUGGGUGUCA